UACGUAGGGGGCAAGCGUUGUCCGGAAUCAUUGGGCGUAAAGAGCGCGUAGGCGGCCCGGUAAGUCCGCUGUGAAAGUCCAGGGCUCAACCCUGGAAUGCCGGUGGAUACUGCCGGGCUAGAGUCCGGAAGAGGCGAGUGGAAUUCCUGGUGUAGCGGUGAAAUGCGCAGAUAUCAGGAGGAACACCGAUGGCGAAGGCAGCUCGCUGGGACGGUACUGACGCUGAGACGCGAAAGCGUGGGGAGCAAACAGG
rnacentral:rRNA from 1 species